AGGGAUCAUUACAAGUGACCCCGGUCUAACCACCGGGAUGUUCAUAACCCUUUGUUGUCCGACUCUGUUGCCUCCGGGGCGACCCUGCCUUCGGGCGGGGGCUCCGGGUGGACACUUCAAACUCUUGCGUAACUUUGCAGUCUGAGUAAACUUAAUUAAUAAAUUAAAACUUUUAACAACGGAUCUCUUGGUUCUGGCAUCGAUGAAGAACGCAGCGAAAUGCGAUAAGUAAUGUGAAUUGCAGAAUUCAGUGAAUCAUCGAAUCUUUGAACGCACAUUGCGCCCCCUGGUAUUCCGGGGGGCAUGCCUGUUCGAGCGUCAUUUCACCACUCAAGCCUCGCUUGGUAUUGGGCAACGCGGUCCGCCGCGUGCCUCAAAUCGACCGGCUGGGUCUUCUGUCCCCUAAGCGUUGUGGAAACUAUUCGCUAAAGGGUGUUCGGGAGGCUACGCCGUAAAACAACCCCAUUUCUAAGGUUGACCUCGGAUCAGGUAGGGAUACCCGCUGAACUUAAGCAUAUCAAUAAGCGGAGGAAAAGAAACCAACAGGGAUUGCUCUAGUAACGGCGAGUGAAGCAGCAAUAGCUCGAAUUUGAAAUCUGGCGUCUUCGACGUCCGAGUUGUAAUUUGUAGAGGAUGCUUCUGAGUAACCACCGACCUAAGUUCCUUGGAACAGGACGUCAUAGAGGGUGAGAAUCCCGUAUGCGGUCGGAAAGGUGCUCUAUACGUAGCUCCUUCGACGAGUCGAGUUGUUUGGGAAUGCAGCUCUAAAUGGGAGGUAAAUUUCUUCUAAAGCUAAAUAUUGGCCAGAGACCGAUAGCGCACAAGUAGAGUGAUCGAAAGAUGAAAAGCACUUUGGAAAGAGAGUUAAAAAGCACGUGAAAUUGUUAAAAGGGAAGGGAUUGCAACCAGACUUGCUCGCGGUGUUCCGCCGGUCUUCUGACCGGUCUACUCGCCGCGUUGCAGGCCAGCAUCGUCUGGUGCCGCUGGAUAAGACUUGAGGAAUGUAGCUCCCUCGGGAGUGUUAUAGCCUCUUGUGAUGCAGCGAGCGCCGGGCGAGGUCCGCGCUUCGGCUAGGAUGCUGGCGUAAUGGUCGUAAUCCGCC
rnacentral:rRNA from 1 species